rnacentral:other from 1 species
GUAUCCCUGCGCCGUUGGUGAUUAUUUGAAUGUGUUGAGCCAACUCCCAAAAAAAGGGUACCUCCGCUUGUGGUGUGGGGAGAACCCGCUGGGGUAGACCUGAAACCAUUAUGAGGAUGCCCACCUAUUAUAUAGGUUUAAUAUGACGGAUAACACGGCGGUGUGGGGACUUC